AACGUAGGAGACAAACGUUAUCCGGAGUUACUGGGCGUAAAGGGCGUGCAGGUGGUUGGUUAAGUCUGGCGUGAAAGCCUCCGGCUCAACCGGGGAAAGUCGUCGGAGACUGACUAACUAGAGGGCAGUAGAGGCGUGUGGAAUUCCGGGUGUAGUGGUGAAAUGCGUAGAGAUCCGGAGGAACACCAGUGGCGAAGGCGACACGCUGGGCUGCACCUGACACUGAGACGCGACAGCAUGGGGAGCGAACGGG
rnacentral:rRNA from 1 species